GAAUCAAGGAGUUUGUUAUUGUUUCCUGUGAGUCUUCUGCAUUCUUAUCUAAACUUCUCACCUCACCCAUAAUAUGUAUAUACGUUUCUAUUGUAUAAAGUGUCUCAUAAUCCUAUAAUCAGACUGGACGCACUUUGUAUGUCUUUUGUGUAUCAAUUAUAUUUGUACAUGUUGUGCGUGUGACACCCUAAUAAACCCCCUUCCUCCCCCCUCCUUCCUUCUACUACUGCUAAUCGCAUGUUUGACAUAUCUCACGCUGUGUGUUCAACUGCUAUCUGCUUACUGUGAGCAGGGAGACUGUGCAAAGACUACAUCGGCUCACUGCUUUAAAUCAAUACUACAGUUUGGUUAUUGCUCAGAGUUAAUAAACCCUUAAACUUGAGGCUAGUUUAUCUUUGUCAAUGCGACCCAAUUCAAUUUGUCUGUCUAUUGAUAUUUUCAACUUCUCACAUCUGUAUACUAUUCAUACCUCUUGAGUUGUUGUCUACAGCCUAGGCGACGUGAUCGUUAGUAAAGCACAAUGACAAUAUGCAAGGAAGUAAUUACCGUGGGUAAUAUUAGUGAAUCCCGGUGUCACUGCGUGUUGUAUGGAAAAGACAUACGCAACCAUAUUUAUUUGAAGAAAUGCGGUAUAUGCAGCGUUGUCGUGGUCUUGUGAAGUGCGUUACACAAGGCCAUAAUAACUUGCUGAACUAUCACACACAUAUAUAUAUAGCCCACUCAGAUAAUCCUGCAUUAUGUAGGUUACUUGUGCGUCGCGCCCAAGUCGGCGGGACAUACCAGGAACAAGAAAGCUUGAUAUUUCAUCGUCACAUUCAACUCGAAAUGGGAGACGUGGAGGUAGUGAUAUUUCUGGCUGUUUUUAUGUUGGUCAUAAUUAUCAUCGUUUUCUUCUGUCUUCCAGAUGGUGAACGCACAGUUCGAAAUGGAGGAUGGUAUAGUUUACAAUCAAUCAGAUUCAGGUCCCUCCGUCAGUGAUGCGAUUAAUACGUGAGAGCAGAACCUUAAUAUCCAAAGAGCAUGCUACAUUGUACCUCAAAAGUUGUGAAAUGUAGACACCAAGGGCUGGGGCUGCAGGUAAUAUUGCCCUGCAUAAAGGGAAAGUUGACUAUUGGAAGUUUGAAGUCCUGCCGCUAGUCACACAGUCUUACGGAGAUAAACCAGUUAUGUAUGGCAUGUAAUGGAUUCAAUACUAAAUGUGUGAUGCAAUCUAUACAAUCGUUUUUUUAUAACAUAAAGAAUCCAUAUAUGUACCUGCAUGUUAUAUUUUUU